ACGCUCUACAACCCUUUGUGAACAUACCUAUAACUGUUGCUUCGGCGGGUAGGGUCUCCGUGACCCUCCCGGCCUCCCGCCCCCGGGCGGGUCGGCGCCCGCCGGAGGAUAACCAAACUCUGAUUUAACGACGUUUCUUCUGAGUGGUACAAGCAAAUAAUCAAAACUUUUAACAACGGAUCUCUUGGUUCUGGCAUCGAUGAAGAACGCAGCGAAAUGCGAUAAGUAAUGUGAAUUGCAGAAUUCAGUGAAUCAUCGAAUCUUUGAACGCACAUUGCGCCCGCCAGCAUUCUGGCGGGCAUGCCUGUUCGAGCGUCAUUUCAACCCUCAAGCUCUGCUUGGUGUUGGGGCCCUACAGCUGAUGUAGGCCCUCAAAGGUAGUGGCGGACCCUCCCGGAGCCUCCUUUGCGUAGUAACUUUACGUCUCGCACUGGGAUCCGGAGGGACUCUUGCCGUANAACCCCCAAUUCUCCAAAGGUUGACCUCGGAUCAGGUAGGAAUACCCGCUGAACUUAAGCAUAUCAAUAA
rnacentral:rRNA from 1 species